rnacentral:rRNA from 1 species
CUGGGCGUAAGCGCACGCAGGCGGUCUGUCAAGUCGGAUGUGAAAUCCCCGGGCUCAACCUGGGAACUGCAUUCGAAACUGGCAGGCUAGAGUCUUGUAGAGGGGGGUAGAAUUCCAGGUGUAGCGGUGAAAUGCGUAGAGAUCUGGAGGAAUACCGGUGGCGAAGGCGGCCCCCUGGACAAAGACUGACGCUCAGGUGCGAAAGCGUGGGGAGCAAACAGGAUUAGAUACCCUGGUAGUCCACGCCGUAAACGAUGUCGACUUGGAGGUUGUGCCCUUGAGGCGUGGCUUCCGGAGCUAACGCGUUAAGUCGACCGCCUGGGGAGUACGGCCGCAAGGUUAAAACUCAAAUGAAUUGACGGGGGCCCGCACAAGCGGUGGAGCAUGUGGUUUAAUUCGAUGCAACGCGAAGAACCUUACCUACUCUUGACAUCCAGAGAACUUUCCAGAGAUGGAUUGGUGCCUUCGGGAACUCUGAGACAGGUGCUGCAUGGCUGUCGUCAGCUCGUGUUGUGAAAUGUUGGGUUAAGUCCCGCAACGAGCGCAACCCUUAUCCUUUGUUGCCAGCG